rnacentral:rRNA from 1 species
GGGUUGUGAGGUUAAGCGACUAAGCGUACACGGUGGAUGCCCUGGCAGUCAGAGGCGAUGAAGGGCGUGCUAAUCUGCGAUAAGCGCCGGUAAGGUGAUAUGAACCGUUAUAACCGGCGAUACCCGAAUGGGGAAACCCAGUGUGAUUCGUCACACUAUCAUUAACUGAAUCCAUAGGUUAAUGAGGCGAACCGGGGGAACUGAAACAUCUAAGUACCCCGAGGAAAAGAAAUCAACCGAGAUUCCCCCAGUAGCGGCGAGCGAACGGGGAGGAGCCCAGAGCCUGAAUCAGCAUGUGUGUUAGUGGAAGCGUCUGGAAAGGCGCGCGAUACAGGGUGACAGCCCCGUACACAAAAGCGCAUGUGCUGUGAGCUCGAUGAGUAGGGCGGGACACGUGGUAUCCUGUCUGAAUAUGGGGGGACCAUCCUCCAAGGCUAAAUACUCCUGACUGACCGAUAGUGAACCAGUACCGUGAGGGAAAGGCGAAAAGAACCCCGGCGAGGGGAGUGAAAAAGAACCUGAAACCGUGUACGUACAAGCAGUGGGAGCCCCACCACCAAAGCAUUCUCUGGUGUUGAAGGCCCUGCAAAGCAGCAUCGCGGUGGCGGAGCGUCGUUUGCGACGCCCAACACACAAAACAAGCGGUGAGUGCUUUGGGGUGGGGUGACUGCGUACCUUUUGUAUAAUGGGUCAGCGACUUAUAUUCUGUAGCAAGGUUAACCGAAUAGGGGAGCCGGAGGGAAACCGAGUCUUAAUUGGGCGUUAAGUUGCAGGGUAUAGACCCGAAACCCGGUGAUCUAGCCAUGGGCAGGUUGAAGGUUGGGUAACACUAACUGGAGGACCGAACCGACUAAUGUUGAAAAAUUAGCGGAUGACCUGUGGCUGGGGGUGAAAGGCCAAUCAAACCGGGAGAUAGCUGGUUCUCCCCGAAAGCUAUUUAGGUAGCGCCUCGUGAAUUCAUCUCCGGGGGUAGAGCACUGUUUCGGCUAGGGGGCCAUCCCGGCUUACCAACCCGAUGCAAACUGCGAAUACCGGAGAAUGUUAUCACGGGAGACACACGGCGGGUGCUAACGUCCGUCGUGAAGAGGGAAACAACCCAGACCGCCAGCUAAGGUCCCAAAGUCAUGGUUAAGUGGGAAACGAUGUGGGAAGGCCCAGACAGCCAGGAUGUUGGCUUAGAAGCAGCCAUCAUUUAAAGAAAGCGUAAUAGCUCACUGGUCGAGUCGGCCUGCGCGGAAGAUGUAACGGGGCUAAACCAUGCACCGAAGCUGCGGCAGCGAACGUAUCACUUAAAGCGAUUCAGCGGGUUACGAUUGACGGAGCGAAGCGACAUCAAAGCGUAUACAAAGUCGAGUCGGUUUAAGGAUACGUUCGUUGGGUAGGGGAGCGUUCUGUAAGCCUGUGAAGGUGGCCUGUGAGGGUUGCUGGAGGUAUCAGAAGUGCGAAUGCUGACAUAAGUAACGAUAAAGCGGGUGAAAAGCCCGCUCGCCGGAAGACCAAGGGUUCCUGUCCAACGUUAAUCGGGGCAGGGUGAGUCGACCCCUAAGGCGAGGCCGAAAGGCGUAGUCGAUGGGAAACGGGUUAAUAUUCCCGUACUUGGUGUUACUGCGAAGGGGGGACGGAGAAGGCUAUGUUGGCCGGGCGACGGUUGUCCCGGUUUAAGCGUGUAGGUGUGUGUUCCAGGUAAAUCCGGUUCACUUUAACACUGAGGCGUGACGACGAGGCACUACGGUGCUGAAGCAACAAAUGCCCUGCUUCCAGGAAAAGCCUCUAAGCAUCAGGUAACAUCAAAUCGUACCCCAAACCGACACAGGUGGUCAGGUAGAGAAUACCAAGGCGCUUGAGAGAACUCGGGUGAAGGAACUAGGCAAAAUGGUGCCGUAACUUCGGGAGAAGGCACGCUGACACGUAGGUGAAGUGAUUUACUCAUGGAGCUGAAGUCAGUCGAAGAUACCAGCUGGCUGCAACUGUUUAUUAAAAACACAGCACUGUGCAAACACGAAAGUGGACGUAUACGGUGUGACGCCUGCCCGGUGCCGGAAGGUUAAUUGAUGGGGUCAGCGCAAGCGAAGCUCCUGAUCGAAGCCCCGGUAAACGGCGGCCGUAACUAUAACGGUCCUAAGGUAGCGAAAUUCCUUGUCGGGUAAGUUCCGACCUGCACGAAUGGCGUAAUGAUGGCCAGGCUGUCUCCACCCGAGACUCAGUGAAAUUGAACUCGCUGUGAAGAUGCAGUGUACCCGCGGCAAGACGGAAAGACCCCGUGAACCUUUACUAUAGCUUGACACUGAACAUUGAGCCUUGAUGUGUAGGAUAGGUGGGAGGCUUUGAAGCGUGGACGCCAGUCUGCGUGGAGCCGACCUUGAAAUACCACCCUUUAAUGUUUGAUGUUCUAACGUGGACCCGUUACCCGGGUUGCGGACAGUGUCUGGUGGGUAGUUUGACUGGGGCGGUCUCCUCCUAAAGAGUAACGGAGGAGCACGAAGGUUGGCUAAUCCUGGUCGGACAUCAGGAGGUUAGUGCAAUGGCAUAAGCCAGCUUGACUGCGAGCGUGACGGCGCGAGCAGGUGCGAAAGCAGGUCAUAGUGAUCCGGUGGUUCUGAAUGGAAGGGCCAUCGCUCAACGGAUAAAAGGUACUCCGGGGAUAACAGGCUGAUACCGCCCAAGAGUUCAUAUCGACGGCGGUGUUUGGCACCUCGAUGUCGGCUCAUCACAUCCUGGGGCUGAAGUAGGUCCCAAGGGUAUGGCUGUUCGCCAUUUAAAGUGGUACGCGAGCUGGGUUUAGAACGUCGUGAGACAGUUCGGUCCCUAUCUGCCGUGGGCGCUGGAGAACUGAGGGGGGCUGCUCCUAGUACGAGAGGACCGGAGUGGACGCAUCACUGGUGUUCGGGUUGUCAUGCCAAUGGCACUGCCCGGUAGCUAAAUGCGGAAGAGAUAAGUGCUGAAAGCAUCUAAGCACGAAACUUGCCCCGAGAUGAGUUCUCCCUGAGACUUAGAGUCUCCUGAAGGAACGUUGAAGACGACGACGUUGAUAGGCCGGGUGUGUAAGCGCAGCGAUGCGUUGAGCUAACCGGUACUAAUGAACCGUGAGGCUUAACCUUACAACGCCGAAG